CACAGUGGCUCUGAGGACUCAUCUUCCCCUUCUUCAUUGAGUUAGUCCACACGAAAGCUAACGGACCCGAUUGUAUUAGACUUAAUGUUGUUGAUAAUGAAGAAAAAAAACUAUGUUGAUAAUAUGAAGUUGGAGAAGAAAAUAUCUUCAUCGUGUAAUUUUGGCCCUCUUUCCUUUUCGGGGUUUCUUCAUAUAAAUUGUAUUAGUCUUUUAAUGUCGUGUGAGGCUACAAAGAUUGAGAUGAUGAAGGAAAGAUUUUCUAAAUGGCAGCUUGGAGAAGAUAAGCGGAAAUGAGGCACUCUGUUUACGCAAUUGUAGCGAUUAGAACCUAUUCCACAAGAGAAGGGAGAUGGAUUGGCUUCUUUGUGUUAGCGAUCACAUUGUCGAGUUGACGCCUACUUGGCAGACAUUUCCUAAUGGAAGUAAACUUGAGGUACUACAUAACUUCAAACGAGCUCUUUAUGGCAAUAUGAGCUUUGUUUUUUAAGUAUGACGCUUACGCCUUUUGGGAUUGCCUGUCUAUUUAUUUUGUCUUCCA